CCUACGGGGUGCAGCAGUGGGGUAUAUUGCACAAUGGGGGAAACCCUGAUGCAGCGACGCCGCGUGAGUGAAGAAGUAUUUCGGUAUGUAAAGCUCUAUCAGCAGGGAAGAAAAUGACGGUACCUGACUAAGAAGCCCCGGCUAACUACGUGCCAGCAGCCGCGGUAAUACGUAGGGGGCAAGCGUUAUCCGGAUUUACUGGGUGUAAAGGGAGCGUAGACGGCCAGACAAGUCAGAAGUGAAAGCCCAGGGCUCAACCCUGGGACUGCUUUUGAAACUGCCGGGCUGGAGUGUGUGAGAGGAUAGUGGAAUUCCAGGUGUAGGAGUGAAAUCCGUAGAUAUCUGGAGGAACAUCAGUGGCGAAGGCGACUAUCUGGCACAUAACUGACGCUGAGGAGCGAAAGCGUGGGUAGCAAACAGGAUUAGAUACCCCAGUAGUC
rnacentral:rRNA from 1 species